rnacentral:rRNA from 1 species
AGUGGGGAAUAUUGCACAAUGGGCGGAAGCCUGAUGCAGCGACGCCGCGUGAGGGAUGACGGCCUUCGGGUUGUAAACCUCUUUCAGCAGGGACGAAGCGCAAGUGACGGUACCUGCAGAAGAAGCGCCGGCCAACUACGUGCCAGCAGCCGCGGUAAGACGUAGGGCGCGAGCGUUGUCCGGAUUUAUUGGGCGUAAAGAGCUCGUAGGCGGCUUGUCGCGUCGACCGUGAAAACUCGCAGCUCAACUGCGAGGCUUGCGGUCGAUACGGGCAGGCUAGAGUUCGGUAGGGGAGACUGGAAUUCCUGGUGUAGCGGUGAAAUGCGCAGAUAUCAGGAGGAACACCGGUGGCGAAGGCGGGUCUCUGGGCCGAUACUGACGCUGAGGAGCGAAAGCGUGGGGAGCGAA